rnacentral:rRNA from 1 species
AGCGCGGGUGCGAGUCGGAGGGUGCAAGCCCGUGGGCGAAGUGAAAGCGAGUUUAAAAACGAGCAGUUUGGGGCGGCAUAAGAUCGUUGAUCUUAAGACCGACCCAGAGCAGUUGCGCUGGGACCCGAAAGAUGGUGAACUAUGCCGGAGUAGGGCAAAGCCAGAGGAAACUCUGGUGGAGGCUCGUAGCGGUGCUGACGUGCAAAUCGCUCGUCGAACUUGGGUAUAGGGGCGAAAGACUAAUCGAACCAUCUAGUAGCUGGUUCCCUCCGAAGUUUCUCUCAGGAUAGCGGGCCGACAAGUUGUUUUGUGCGGUAAAGCGAAUGAUUAGCGCAUUCGGGGGCGUUUAGCCUUUGGGCGAUUCUCAAACUUUCAAUGCGCAAGGGUGCCGCUGCUUAAUUGAGCGGUACCGGUAAAAACGUCGGCCCUGUGGGCCACUUUUGGUAAGCAGAACAGGCGAUACGGGAUGAACCGUAAGCAAGGUUAAGGCGCCAAACUACCCGCUUAUAGACCCCACAAAAGGUGUUGAUUCAUCGAGACAGCAGGACGGUGGCCAUGGAAGUCGGAAUCCGCCAAGGAGUGUGUAACAACUCACCUGCCGAAUGAAUUAGCCCUGAAAAUGGAUGGCGCUGAAGCGGGUGGCCGACACCUUGCCGUCUGGACAAGAAUUUCAGAUGAGUAGGAGGGCGUGGCGGCCGUGUCGAAGCCUGCGUGCAGACGCGUGUGGAACGGCCGCUAGUGCAGAUCUUGGUGGUAGUAGCAAGUAUUCAAGCGAGAUCCUUGAAGGGCGAAGUGGGGAAGGGUUUCACGCGAACAUUGAUUGGGCGUGAGUGAGUCGUUCCUAAGCCGAGUGGCAAUUGCUAAUUAACGGCGAAAGGGAAGCGGGUUGACAUUCCCGCACACGGAUGUGGAGGCGGUGACGCAUUAUUGGGGCGAACACGCUGGCGAUGGCGCUGGGCAGAGUUGUCUUUUCUGUUUGACCGCUUGCGCACGCAGUGUGGAAUCCGCUUGUCGGGAGAAACACGCGUGUACGGGCAGAGCGCUGGGGCUUUUCCAGCGUCCAGCUCGCCAUCGACGGCCCUUGAAACUUUGCCUGCUG